AACGCACAUUGCGCCCGCCAGCACUCUGGCGGGCAUGCCUGUCCGAGCGUCAUUUCACCCCUCGAGCCCGGCUCGGUGUUGGGGGCCCACGGCCGCGCGCCGUCCCCCGAAAUGCAGUGGCGACCCCGCCGCGCCCUCCCCUGCGCAGUAGCUCCCAGAGAACCUCGCACCGGAGGCGCGGAGGCGGUCCGGCCGUAAAACGAACCCCCCACAGAGUUGACCUCGGAUCAGGUAGGGAUACCCGCUGAACUUAA
rnacentral:misc_RNA from 1 species